UGCCAUUUGCUAUUUACAACAGCACUGAAGGUACAGUAUUUACAGCUUUCAACAUAAUGUAGUACAAAACUUAAGUCACCUUUUGAUCAUUCAACCGUAAAAUAUGUCAAGACUCCCAAAAGUGAGAUGGACAAAACUGCCAACUGUAAACGACAUAUCCACCGAUACGUAUGCCGUCACGGUCCCCAUAGCGGGGGCAUUUGAUCAGUGGAUGUAAAUCGUCCAUCUCGGG